UUCAAACUGGGGAGCUCCCAGCAGAGG
rnacentral:piRNA from 1 species